GGGAAAUCAGUCUUUUGUCUGUUCAGUAAGUGUGUGCCGGAGUGGAAAGAUCCAGGAAUCAGCCAGCUAACAUUUCUUAAAAGUAGUUGGAAUCUGCACUCACUAAGGAGUGAAGUUGUCUCUGGGAUGGAGAAGGAAACCCCGUCCCUGCCUCCUGAAGACACAGGUUAUGAUGAUGUGGGACAUGAUGACUCGGGGGGUUCAAUAUCAUAAGAAUUUGAUUGGACAAAAUAAUCGUGUGAUGAUGUAAAUGUUUUGCCUCUUUCUCUCAGAAAUGAUGGUCUAGAGACAGUCCCUGCCUGGUAGAUAGACAAAGCAGGUGUAUUAAUAGGAUUUGUGUGAAGUUGCAGGAAAUACAAGAGUGAGUGGGAAAAGGUUCAUAAGCUUUCUUUGUAUAAUUUUCCAUUGUUUGGAGGGGGUGGAAGUUUCCUGCUUUUUUAUGUCUAUAAUUUCUUCAGCUUGACUUUGUGACUUUUUCAUAUUAAAUCCUUUCUGAAAGUC